UACGUAGGGUGCGAGCGUUUAAUCGGAAUUACUGGGCGUAAAGCGUGCGCAGGCGGUCUGUUAAGGACCGAUGUGAAAUCCCCGGGCUUAACCUGGGAACUGCAUUGGUGACUGGCAGGCUUUGAGUGUGGCAGAGGGAGGUAGAAUUCCACGGUGUAGCAGUGAAAUGCGUAGAGAUGUGGAGGAAUACCGAUGGCGAAGGCAGCCUCCUGGGCCAACACUGACGCUCAU
rnacentral:rRNA from 1 species